GCAGCAGAACUCAGCAGCAUCCAGGCUGGCUCAGCAGGCCCGCAGAGUGUGACACUUCCUGUCCCUGUCUCGUCCUGCAGAGAACCUUGUGACAGCAAAGACCUGGAGCUGAGACGCAUCUCUGUUCAUCAUCACCGCCGCCAAGCACCCUCAGCGGGCAGUGAGACAUGGGAGGGGGAGAAUACCUGUUGCCGCCGCCGAGUGAGACCGCCUGCCUCUGAUACUCAAGUGGCUUUGUGAUAAGUGAUUAGAACUGAAGGAGGGAGAAAGUAAAAAAUGAGGGCCUUGUCAGCACACACUCUUCAGAUUUGAGGUCAGUCUCGCCCUCUGAUUGUGUGUUCUUGUGUGUGGGGGCGCGGGAGGGGGGGGGUGCGAGUGAGAGUUUACUGUCGCCUCAUUGAAGCCUCCAUCAUCACCUGCUGAGGCUUGAGUCCCGUCUAUCUGUUUCAUCAUUCUCCACAUGCACCCCCUCUGUCAUCCCCCUUUUUUUCUCCCCUGUCCCCUUCUCACUCCCGCCCGCGUGGGUUGCUGCCUGCUCCCUUCGCCCCCCCCCCCCCCCCAUGUUCGCAAAUCACUUCUUCCCGUGUCAGCAGGUAAAUUGUUUUGUCCUCCCGCUCCCCGCUUUCAUUACCUUGUGUAAAUUAAGCGAUAUGUCGUCCACCGGUGCGCGCCAGAGCACUCGCCGCGCCAACGCCAAAAUCAUGAGAUUUGGCAUAAUAAAUGAAGACAAACUGGCAGUAGCAGUGCUCCUCUCCAUGCGGCUUCGCCUUCAUUAUUCGCUUAACUUGCCGGAGAAAAUGACUUAACCCUGACCCGUGUAUUACGUCCCAUAUUCACUCCAGAUAAAAGCCUUUUUACAGCGCACAACAAUUUAUAUUCCAGCAAAGAGGCUGCUUUUCUCUGUCAGUUUUCCAAUCUCACCUCCUCAACACACGUCAUUAAACUUGUCUUGCCUUCCUGUAUUUGUCCAUCAGUCCUUCUUUUUACAUAAAAUCUGGCAGCAUUAUUCUGGGAUUUGAUGGCACCCGCUCAUUCCCCCCCGAAACGUUUGAUUGGAAGAAAUAUAGCCGGGCUAUCUCCUCUCUUCUGUGGAAUCAUGCACUUGAUGAAAUGGUGUUCCCCAGCAAAAAUAAUAAAAACAGACUUGUGCAUUACAGCGGGCUCUCAAUCUGCCAGCCGGAAAAAAGCCCACCCUGCCUCAUGACAGAUUUUUAUUUAUUUUUUAUUUAGUUUCUCUCUGCAGAUAAAUAGAAACGGGUGACCGGGCUGUGAAAGGCCACUCAGAAAGCGAGGGUGGGCUGCAGGCCGGGAUAAAAUAGCUAAGGUGUGCUCCUGUUACUACCCGAGACGCCCCAUCCUUUCCUAUCUUUGCCGUAAGCGGAAUGGCAAACUGGGGCAACAUCUAAACACCCAUUUGACGCAAUAGAAAGAGUUGUAAUUUAUAAGCGUGGUGUUUGUAGAAAAUUCUGUAUGGUGGGGUGGGUGCAGCUCCAAUGAGAAUGAACCGUACGACAUGAAAAGGGUCAUUGCGACGAUUCCCAGGGUAAAAAGCGCUCGCUCUCCAGAGGUGUCAGCAAUACCAUGCUCACUUUAACGCGAGAGGUCAGAGUCACUUUACAUGAAUGUCUUGCUUUCAGUCAGCACACCCCACAGUCAGACGCAGUGUUGUGGUUCUCCAGUUUCCACUGGAGCGUUAUUCCAAAAAAUGUGGUCGUCCCAGGGCCGCAUAUUGUUCGGCGGUAAUAAGCAAGGCAGGGUGAUUUAAGUCUCUCAACUCGAGCGGGCAGGCUCUUGCAACUGCAGUAAAACAAGCGCCCUUAAUGUAACACUUCGGGUUUGACACCACAAAAUAUUUUCAAUGGAGCGCAGUAUGCGCAUCUGUUUGAAUAUUUAUGGAUCACUUGUCCGUAGGCAUUUUCAAAACAGAACGACUCAAUAGUCGGAUGCAAUUGUGUUGCAUGCGGUGCACUUCACCUGCUUUUGAUUGGAUGCAAAAACA